CUACGGGGCGCUCCAGUGGGGAAUAUUGCACAAUGGAGGAAACUCUGAUGCAGCAACGCCGCGUGGAGGAUGACACUUUUCGGAGCGUAAACUCCUUUUAUAUAGGAAGAAGAUGACGGUACUAUAUGAAUAAGCGCCGGCUAACUCCGUGCCAGCAGCCGCGGUAAUACGGAGGGCGCAAGCGUUACUCGGAAUCACUGGGCGUAAAGAGCGUGUAGGCGGAUUAAAAAGUCAGAAGUGAAAUCCUAUAGCUUAACUAUAGAACUGCUUCUGAAACUCUUAAUCUAGAAUGUGGGAGAGGUAGAUGGAAUUUCUGGUGUAGGGGUAACAUCCGUAGAGAUCAGAAGGAAUACCGAUUGCGAAGGCGAUCUACUAGAACAUUAUUGACGCUGAGACGCGAAAGCGUGGGGAGCAAACAGGAUUAGAUACCCUUGUAGUC
rnacentral:rRNA from 1 species